rnacentral:rRNA from 1 species
UACAGAGGUCCCAAGCGUUGUUCGGAUUCACUGGGCGUAAAGGGUGCGUAGGCGGUCGGGUAAGUCUGAUGUGAAAUCUCACAGCUUAACUGUGAAACUGCAUUGGAUACUAUCCGGCUCGAGGAAUGGAGGGGAGACUGGAAUACUUGGUGUAGCAGUGAAAUGCGUAGAUAUCGGAAGGAACACCAGUGGCGAAAGCGGCUUCCUGGUCCAGCACCGACGUUCAGGCACGAAAGCGUGGGGAGCAAACAGG